rnacentral:tRNA from 1 species
GCACUGGCAAUUCAGUGGUUGAAUUCUUGCCUACCAUGCAGAAGGCCUAGGUUUAAUUCCUGGCAAAUGCA